GGGUGUGCCGUUGUCUAGAGGACUAAGUCAAAGGCUGACACCUCAUGCUCCUGUGAUUCUUGGGACACAGGGUUGAAGGAUGCUGAAGAAAAGAAAACAGGGGAGAACAAGGGGGAGGAGAAACCCCCAGAGCAGCAUGAAGGGAGCUACAGGAGAGGGGACUAACCCCCAGAGAAGCAUGGAGGAAGAUACAGGUCCUCAGGAGGUGAUCUCUCAGUUAGAGAGGGUGUCUUUGAAGGAGGCAGAGUUACCAUCAGCCAGAGAGGAGGACCAGUCCAUCCAUGAGGGAGAUCAAGCCAUGGAGCCCAGGGUGGAUGAGGAGAGGCCAGUGUCACCAACACCCAGUUAUCUAUCAAUGAAGUCGAUGGACAAACUCAUUGAUGUAAAAAAAGGAGAUAGUACUCAAGAUAUUACUCAGAUCUUCACAGUUCAUCCUGCCAGAUCAGAACCACCAACUCCCAGUCAUUCAGCCAUGAGUGACUAUUCAAUGGAACUCCCUGUCAACUCCGAUGAUGGAGGUUUACCAAAGAU